GGCUCAGGAUGAACGCUAGCGGCGGGCUUAAUACAUGCAAGUCGUGGGGCAGCAUGAGUAGCAAUACUUGAUGGCGACCGGCAAACGGGUGAGGAACACGUACACAACCUUCCUUCAAGCGGGGAAUAGCCCAGAGAAAUUUGGAUUAAUACCCCAUAAUAUAUUUGAUAAGGCAUCUUAUUAAUAUUAAAGCUUCGGCACUUGAUGAUGGGUGUGCGGCUGAUUAGAUAGUUGGCGGGGUAACGGCCCACCAAGUCUACGAUCAGUAGCUGAUGUGAGAGCAUGAUCAGCCACACGGGCACUGAGACACGGGCCCGACUCCUACGGGAGGCAGCAGUAAGGAAUAUUGGACAAUGGACGAAAGUCUGAUCCAGCCAUGCCGCGUGAAGGAUUAAGGUCCUCUGGAUUGUAAACUUCUUUUAUAUGGGACGAAAAAAGGGCAUUCUUGUUCACUUGACGGUACCAUAUGAAUAAGCACCGGCUAACUCCGUG
rnacentral:rRNA from 1 species